CAAGGCUCUAGAAGGAAAAGCAGCGCAUGUGGCAGGUCCAGACUGAGGGAAGGAAAAUCGACCAGGCUUCCUCCUUGGCACCACUGAACUGCUGUCUAUGGAACUGCACUGUGAGAAGUACAUCGCUGUGCAAGAGAAGUACAUCGCUGUGCUGAAGGUGAUGGCUGCAAUGCUUGUCACAGGGCUGGAGG